GCUAAUCAUGGGGAAGGUGCGUGUGUAUGGCGUGGGGUGAGAGGGUUGAUGGGAGUGUUGAGGAGUAAGGGGCUUGUAGGGGUUUGGUCGGCAGGGGGUUGAAAACGCGUGGCUGAGCCGUAGGCGGUUGGCGUUUUCGGGCUGAGUGGAUGUAGGCAGGGGAGAGCGGAAAGGUUGGGGGAGUGGUGGAAUGCGUAGAUAUCAGGAGGAACACCGUAGGCGAAGGCGGUUCUCUGGGCAUUACCUGACGAUUAGGGGCGAAAGCAUGGGGAUCGAACAGAAUUAAAUACCCCGGUAGUC
rnacentral:rRNA from 1 species